GUCGCACGAGAACGCUUCAGCUUGCUGAAGCUAGUAAAGUGGCGUACGGGUGAGUAUCGCGUGGGUAAUCUACCUCUGAAUUGGGGAUAACAUUGCGAAAGCGAUGCUAAUACCGGAUAAUAUCCAUUAAACCUCGGUUUUUUGGAUCAAAGGUGGCCUCUACAUGUAAGCUACUGUUUGGAGACGAGCCCGCGUACCAUUAGCUUGUUGGUAGGGUAACGGCUUACCAAGGCAACGAUGGUUAGCUGGUCUGAGAGGAUGAUCAGCCACACUGGAACUGACACACGGUCCAGACUCCUACGGGAGGCAGCAGUGAGGAAUUUUGCGCAAUGGGGGAAACCCUGACGCAGCAACGCCGCGUGAGUGAUGAAGGCUUUCGGGUCGUAAAGCUCUGUCAAGUGGGAAGAACCCGCGCCGCACAAAUAGUGCGGUGCGCUGACGGUACCACUGAAGGAAGCACCGGCUAACUCCGUG
rnacentral:rRNA from 1 species